GACGAACGCUGGCGGCGUGCCUAAUACAUGCAAGUCGAACGCUGACACUUGGUGCUUGCACCGAGCGGUUGAGUUGCGGACGGGUGAGUCACGCGUAGGUAACCUGCCUGGUAGAGGGGGAUAACUAUUGGAAACGAUAGCUAAUACCGCAUAAGAGUAGAUGUUGCAUUACGUUUGCUUAAAAUGUGCUAUUGCACCACUACAUGAUGGACCUACGUUGUAUUCGCUAGGUGGUGUGGUAACGGCUCAACCAGGCGAGGAUACAUAGCCGACCAGAGAGGGGAAUCGGCCAAGCUGGGACUGGAGGAUGGUCAGGACUCCUACGGGAGGGAGCCGGAGGGGAUUUUUGGGAAUGGACGGAAGUGUGAACGAGCAACACCGCGUGAGAGAAUGAGGUUGUCGGGUCGUAAAGCUCUGUUGGAAGAGAAGAACGAAUGUGAGAGUGGAAAGUGCACAUUGUGACGGUACCUUACCAGAAAGGGACGGCUAACUACGUG
rnacentral:rRNA from 1 species